rnacentral:lncRNA from 1 species
CCCUCUCGGCUGCUGCCCCCUCUGAGAGCCAUUCCACGCGUGGUGAGCAGCCAGGCCUUAGGACUAGAAUUUGUAAUCGACUGUGACACGAUGGCGAAGGUUCCCCAGCCUUGAAGACUACGUGUUUUCUCAGGUUAAUUCCCCAGGUUGGACGCCCACUUCCGUCUUAAAGGGAAGUGAUUUUUCUUCAGGUUUCAGGGUAUUUCGCUUUAGGUUUGGCUCUGGCGAUUUUCAUGCUACGCUUUACCACAGUGUGGAGGUUUGUCGGCUGGUCGGCCUGGUUUCUUUAUUCGACCUCUGUGUCCUGGUGGUUUGAUUGGUAGUCUCUUAGGAUGUAUUUGUAGGUAACAGUUGGAACUUUUCCCAGGAGCCCAGCACCUCGCCGGAUAGCACACCUAAGGGCGCUCACUAAAAGGUGGCAUCUUGUGUUUCGCCAGCUUUCUGGUAGACAGCUUUUUAAAAGUUACACUGUCAUUCCCUCCCUCGUCUGCGAGCCGUUCUUUAUUAUUCUUUUACAUCAGAAAUGACUAAGGUGUUCCAGAUAUUUUCAUUAUCGGUCUUGGAGGUGACCCUAUCUCUUCUCCGCUGUUUAAAAUAGUAGGUUUUCCAGUGGUGAGUCCUCAAGUGCAGUAAAUGAAUAUGAGUCAUAGCACCAUGCUGAUAAAGUUCCGAGAAAUGCAGAGGCGAAAGCAGGUGAUACAGAAAUGGCAACAGAUGAAGCAGGGGAGUGUGGGAUACAUGGGCCAGCUCUGAGCCUAUCACCACCAUAUGCCUACGAGCCCCCAACAACAUCCAGAUCAGGCCCGGCCUCUACACCUACAAGGACAGCACACUGCUAAUCCUUCCUCCGGUCAGGUGUGUUCUCCACAGCCGGUCUUUCAUGCACAGUCCUAGUCUCCACUCAGCCUGUCCCUGAAGAUGUGGACUCAGAUAUUCACACCAUAUUGUUCUUCACAUCCUGGACAGAUAGUGGCCCAGACUGCCAACCCCAUGGAACAGGCAUUUUUCCAGCCCAGCCCAGAAUUCCAUGCUUUCUCGGCUUGCUAGCAACAACAGGCAUGGCAGACCUCCAGAGUAUAAGUGUUUGGAACCGAGAGUACCAAUACGGCAGAUGAACUCAGGCCUCUCAUGGAGUUCUACACACACAUUCCAGAAAGACAGUUUUGGAAGCAAAGCAUUUCUUCCUCUUAAGACUUUAUAAACAGUUCUCAAAUAUGUCCUAGCCUCAAAGACAACUUUCCAUGGAACAUGGAAUGACUGCAGUAGCUAUUUGUGGGUUAAAGCAAGCAUGCGGGUCAAACCUGCGAGAUAGUAAACUACAAAGAAUGUGUUUUUGUUAUGGCUGGUUAUCCUCAGCAUUUUUUCCUCCUUGUGUGUGAUUCAAGUGUGUACUGGAAGGCUCCUGAAGUAUUAAGCCAAGCAUGUACCCCCUACCCAGAAUGGCCAAUAGGUGUUUAUUAUUUCAAAUUAAUAAAAAUACGUAUUAUUAAUAACCAUUCUUUACUGGUGCUUUUGCUGCUUUCAUCAUUUAUGAAAGGGUUUAAAAAUCUAAAGCCAGAGGAGAAUUUAAUGUUUUGUAAAAUUACAUUAUAUAUGUGUAUAUAUAUAUAUAUAUUAGAGGAUCUUUUAUGUGUUGAAACAAUUUUAUCAAAUGGCCACAAUUUAUUAAUUUACUAUUUAUCAACAUGAUACUCCAUAAACAACCUUCCAUUAUAGAAUUACAGAACACUAUAUGACUGAGCAUAAAUAAAUCAUAAUUUUUCUGAUUGACGUGUGGAUAUAUGAGAUUUGAUGAGACCCUCACUUUCAGAAACAAAAUGCAAGGAGUCAUAUGUUGGGAAAAAUUUGGGUCAUUUCAGCAUGGACUAAGUAUUAUAUAAUAUGAAAGUUUGUGUAGAUUUUUAUUAGCAGAACAGCUGUGUAUUUGUGUUUUAAGACAGGGUUUCUCUGUGUAGCCCUGGCUAUCUUGGGACUCAUUCUGUAAACUAAACUGACCUCAAACUCAGAGAUCUUCAUGCCUCUGCCUCCCAAACUUUGGGGCUAAAGAUGUAUGCCACCCUGUGUAUCCCCAACUUCUGGGAUGUUCUCUUUUGCAGAGCACACUGAAGUAUUCAGGCAUGAAGAAUCAUAUCUGAGAUUCAUAUUAAAGUAUCUGUCAAAAUUUUGGGUUGAGAUAGUAAAACAUGAAAUAAAAAUAAAAUUAAUAUUACUAAGAAUAAGUAUUAAGGCUCCCUUUACUUCCUAGAACUUGAAAGUUUUUAUACCAAGUAAGAAACACCAGAAAUAAAAUGCUGCUCCAGCCGCAGCUCAGCAGGUGGGAGCUUCCCCUCCAGCCAAUGCCAGCCCCUCAUCAGACACCUCUGUUUGUUACCCCUUACAGGGCCUGGGACCCUCACAGGCUUUAGUUAGCAUCACAGUUAAGGUGGGACAAAGCAGAACAGUACUGAGGAAGUCGGCAGGGACAGCAGUAGCAGCUGCCUGUCACGCAAGAGCAAGCUCACUACCUCAGGUUUUCCUUUUGUUGGAGGAGAACAGAGAGACCUGGGAGAAGAAAUCAGUUGUCCUCCUCUGAGGAUCCUCGGAACCUCCCCCUAGGCAAAUCAAGGGCCUCAGGCAGGAGGCAUGGCAAGCUCCGGUUCACUCAACAUUUCCUCCCAACUGUGGACCUGUUUGUUUCAAAGCCUUUCCCAUUCGUUCUUGGUGUCACAUCCAAAGCAUCCACAAACCCACUGAAUCAAAGUGAACCCCCAUCACAACACAGGUCACUUCGUGUGGAGGUUCUGCCCUGACCUGCAGAGCAGGAGUUGCCACACCAGCUGUUUUUGCCAUCACAGGUGGAAUUUCCCUCCAGAGUUGGGAGUUCUGGUUUUGGCCUGAUAAGAGAGACCUGUGCUGAGAAAUGGAAACCUAUGCCAUUGGCAGUCAGCGUGAAGUGAUCUAAGUCAUCAGUCACAUCUAGGGGUUGGGCUUAUGGCUUUUGCCUUUAUAAGCCUACUGCUUUGCAAUAAAAUUGAACCUUGAUC